GACGAACGCUGGCGGCGUGCUUAACACAUGCAAGUCGAACGGAAAGGCCCUGCUUUUGUGGGGUGCUCGAGUGGCGAACGGGUGAGUAACACGUGAGUAACCUGCCCUUGACUUUGGGAUAACUUCAGGAAACUGGGGCUAAUGCCGGAUAGGAGCUCCUGCUGCAUGGUGGGGGUUGGAAAGUUUCGGCGGUUGGGGAUGGACUCGCGGCUUAUCAGCUUGUUGGUGGGGUAGUGGCUUACCAAGGCUUUGACGGGUAGCCGGCCUGAGAGGGUGACCGGCCACAUUGGGCCUGAGAUACGGCCCAGACUCCUACGGGAGGCAGCAGUGGGGAAUAUUGCACAAUGGGCGGAAGCCUGAUGCAGCAACGCCGCGUGCGGGAUGACGGCCUUCGGGUUGUAAACCGCUUUCGCCUGUGACGAAGCGUGAGUGACGGUAAUGGGUAAAGAAGCACCGGCUAACUACGUG
rnacentral:rRNA from 1 species